GACGAACGCUGGCGGCGUGCUUAACACAUGCAAGUCGAACGGAAAGGCCCUUUCGGGGGUACUCGAGUGGCGAACGGGUGAGUAACACGUGGGUGAUCUGCCCUGCACUUUGGGAUAAGCCUGGGAAACUGGGUCUAAUACCGGAUAGGACUACGGCCUGCAUGGGUUGUGGUGGAAAGCUUUUGCGGUGUGGGAUGGGCCCGCGGCCUAUCAGCUUGUUGGUGGGGUGAUGGCCUACCAAGGCGACGACGGGUAGCCGGCCUGAGAGGGUGUCCGGCCACACUGGGACUGGGAUACGGCCCAGACUCCUACGGGAGGCAGCAGUGGGGAAUAUUGCACAAUGGGCGCAAGCCUGAUGCAGCGACGCCGCGUGAGGGAUGACGGCCUUCGGGUUGUAAACCUCUUUCAAUAGGGACGAAGCGCAAGUGACGGUACCUAUAGAAGAAGCACCGGCCAACUACGUGCCAGCAGCCGCAGUAAAAC
rnacentral:rRNA from 1 species